rnacentral:snRNA from 1 species
GUGCUAGUUUGGGCAACACAUAUACUAAAAUUGGAAUGACACAGAGAUUAGCAUGGCCUGGGCAGGAAUGACAGACAAACUUGUGAAGCAUUCCAUGUUUUU